AUUGAACGCUGGCGGCAUGCUUUACACAUGCAAGUCGAACGGAAAGGCCCUGCUUUUGUGGGGUGCUCGAGUGGCGAACGGGUGAGUAACACGUGAGUAACCUGCCCUUGACUUUGGGAUAACUUCAGGAAACUGGGGCUAAUACCGGAUAGGAGCUCCUGCUGCAUGGUGGGGGUUGGAAAGUUUCGGCGGUUGGGGAUGGACUCGCGGCUUAUCAGCUUGUUGGUGGGGUAGUGGCUUACCAAGGCUUUGACGGGUAGCCGGCCUGAGAGGGUGACCGGCCACAUUGGGACUGAGAUACGGCCCAGACUCCUACGGGAGGCAGCAGUGGGGAAUAUUGCACAAUGGGCGGAAGCCUGAUGCAGCAACGCCGCGGGCGGGAUGACGGCCUUCGGGUUGGAAACCGCGUUCGCCUGUGACGAAGCGUGAGUGACGGUAAUGGGUAAAGAAGCACCGGCUAACUACGUGC
rnacentral:rRNA from 1 species